AGUUCAGAUUGCAGGCUGNAACCCGCCCUGCAUGAAGUCGGAAUUGCUAGUAAUCGCGGAUCAGCAUGCCGCGGUGAAUACGUUCCCGGGCCUUGUACACACCGCCCGUCACACCAUGGGAGCCGGCAAUACCCGAAGUCAGUAGUCCAACCUCGUGAGGACGCUGCCGAAGGUAGGAUUGGCGACUGGGGUGAAGUCGUAACAAGGUAGC
rnacentral:rRNA from 1 species